CAGGGAGCCCAGGGCAAUGUGACUACUUUGACUACUGGGGCCAGGGCACCAUGGUCACCGUCUCCUCAGCCUCCACCACGGCCCCGUCGGUCUUCCCACUGUCCCCCAAGUGUGGCACCACAUCCAGCUCCACGGUGUCCCUGGGCUGCCUGGUCUCUGGCUACUUCCCGGAGCCCGUGACUGUGACCUGGAACUCGGGCUCCCUGACCAGCGGCGUGCACACCUUCCCAUCCGUCCUCCGCUCGGGCCUCUACUCUAUGAGCAGCAUGGUGACGGUGCCCGCCAGCUCGUCCACCCAGACCUUCAUCUGCAACGUAGCCCACCCGGCCAGCAGCACCAAGGUGGACAAGAUCGUGCCCUUAACUGUCGGACCUCCCCCCACCUCUUGCCCGCCUCACACAUGCCCACCUUGUGAGAACCCGGGAGGGCCCUCGGUCUUCAUCUUCCCCCCGAAACCCAAGGACACCCUCAUGAUCUCCCGGACGCCCGAGGUCACGUGCAUGGUGGUGGACGUGGCCCCAGAUGACCUGGAUGUCGAGUUCACCUGGUACAUGGACGGCAACCAGAUGACCAAGAAGACGGUGAAGGCGGAGCAGGAGCAGUUCAACAGCACCUACCGUGUGGUCCACUCCUACGCCAUCACGCACCAGGACUGGCUGAAGGGCAAGAAGUUCAAGUGCAAGGUCAACAACAAGGCCAUCCCCUCCCCCAUCGAGAGGACCAUCUCCAAGGCCAUAGGGCAAGUCCAGGCGCCGCAGGUGUACGUCCUGGGUCCACACUCGGACGAGUUGGCCAGGGACAAGGUCAGCGUGACCUGCCUGGUCAAAGACUUCUUCCCGCCGGACAUCAGCGUGGAGUGGCAGAGCAACGGGCAGCCAGAGUCCGAGACCAAGUACUCCUCGACCCCGCCCCAGAAGGACCAGGAGGGCUCCUUCUUCCUGUACAGCAAGCUCACCGUGGACAAGGCCCGGUGGCAGCGGGGGGCCCCCUUCACGUGCGAGGUGAUGCACGAGGGCCUGCACAACCACUACGCCCAGAAGACCGUCUCCUGGAACCCGGGUAAAUGAGCAGCGCCCGGCGCCCGGCGACCCCCCAUGUACAUACCCUCGGCACCCAGCAUUCAAUAAAGCACCCAGCACGGCCCUGGGACC